UCAGGAUGAACGCUAGCGACAGGCUAACACAUGCAAGUCGAGGGGCAGCAUAAAAGUAGCAAUACUUGGUGGCGACCGGCGCACGGGUGAGUAACGCGUAUGCAACCUACCUAUCAGAGGGGAAUAACCCGGCGAAAGUCGGACUAAUACCGCAUAAAACAGGGGCACCGCAUGGUGAUAUUUGUUAAAGAAAUUCGCUGAUAGAUGGGCAUGCGUUCCAUUAGGUAGUUGGUGAGGUAACGGCUCACCAAGCCGACGAUGGAUAGGGGAACUGAGAGGUUGGUCCCCCACACUGGUACUGAGACACGGACCAGACUCCUACGGGAGGCAGCAGUGAGGAAUAUUGGUCAAUGGGCGGGAGCCUGAACCAGCCAAGUCGCCGUGAAGGAAGAAGGAUCUAUGGUUCGUAAACUUCUUUUGCAGGGGAAUAAAGUGCAGGACGUGUCCUGUUUUGUAUGUACCCUGAGAAUAAGGAUCGGCUAACUCCGUGCCAGCCGCCGC
rnacentral:rRNA from 1 species